CCUACGGGAGGCAGCAGUGAGGAAUAUUGGUCAAUGGCCGGAAGGCUGAACCAGCCAUGCCGCGUGAAGGUCAGUGCCCUAUGGGCGUUAAACUUCUUUUGUGCGGGAGCAUUAAUGGUCACGUGUGGCCAGACGAGAGUACCGUACGAAUAAGCAUCGGCUAACUCCGUUCAAGCAGCCGCGGUAAUACGGGGGAUGCAAGCGUUAUCCGGCUUUUAUGGGUUUUAAGGGGGCGUAGGCUGUGAGGUAAGUCAGCGGGGGAAUGCCCCCGCUCAAAGGGGUGAAGUGCCAUUGAUACUGCCAUGCUGGAAUGCGGAUGCCGUGGGUGGAAUGUGUGGUGUAGCGGUGAAAUGCAUAGAUAUCACACAGAACACCGAUUGCGAAGGCAUCUCGCGAAUCCGCGAUUGACGCUGAUGCACGAAAGCGUGGGUAUCAAACAGGAUUAGAUACCCUGGUAGUC
rnacentral:rRNA from 1 species